rnacentral:rRNA from 1 species
UGAUGACGAGACGCUAAGGCGUUGAAGCAGUGUAUGUCAGACUUCCAAGAAAAGCUCGCAAUGUCACAAAUAAAAAUGCCUGUACCAUAACCGACACAGGUGGGUAGGUAGAGUAUACUAAGGGGCGCGAGAUAACUCUCUCUAAGGAACUCGGCAAAAUGACUCCGUAACUUCGGGAGAAGGAGUGCCUUAUUUAUAAGGUUGCAAUAACAAGAUCCAAGCAACUGUUUAUCAAAAACACAGGUCUCCGCUAAGUCGUAAGACGAUGUAUGGGGGCUGACGCCUGCCCAGUGCCAGAAGGUUAAAGAAGUUGGUUAGUGUAUGCGAAGCUGAUGACUGAAGCCCUGGUGAACGGCGGCCGUAACAAUAACGGUCCUAAGGUAGCGAAAUUCCUUGUCGGGUAAGUUCCGACCCGCACGAAAGGCGUAAUGAUUUGGAUACUGUCUCGGAGAGAGGCUCGGUGAAAUAGACUUGUCUGUGAAGAUGCGGACUACCUGCACCAGGACAGAAAGACCCUAUGAAGCUUUACUGUAACUUGAAAUUGGAAUUGGACUUUGCUUGCGCAGUAUAGGUGGGAAGCGUUGAAAAUAUUCUUGCGGGAGUAUUGGAGCUAUCAGUGAGAUACCACUCUUGUAAUGUUAGAUUUCUAACUUUGAACCAUAAUCUGGUCAAAGAACAGUUUCAGGUGGGCAGUUUGACUGGGGCGGUCGCCUCCCAAAUGGUAACGGAGGCGUACAAAGGUUUCCUCUGAACGGAUAGAAAUCGUAUCUAGAGUGUAAAGGCAUAAGGAAGCUUGACUGUGAGACCUACAAGUCGGGCAGGGACGAAAGUCGGUCUUAGUGAUCUGACGGUACUGAGUGGAAAGGCCGUCACUCAACGGAUAAAAGUUACUCUAAGGAUAACAGGCUGAUCUCCCCCAAGAGUUCACAUCGACGGGGAGGUUUGGCACCUCGAUGUCGGCUCAUCGCAUCCUGGGGCGGUAGUACGUCCCAAGGGUUGGGCUGUUCGCCCAUGAAAGCGGUACGCGAGCUGGGUUCAGAACGUCGUGAGACAGUUCGGUCCAUAUCCGGUGUAGGCGCUAGAAUAUUGAGAGGAGCCUUCUUUAGUACGAGAGGACCUAGAAGGACACGCCGCUGGCGUACCAGUUAUCGUGCCAACGGUAAACGCUGGGUAGCUAUGUGUGGAGUGGAUAACCGCUGAAAGCAUCUAAGUGGGAAGCCCACCUCGAGAUGAGUAUUC